UACCUACAGCGGGCCUCAGCACAGGUAGCGGUGCCUGUGCCGUGACGUGCACGUUUCCCUCUACUAACACGUGCACCUAAUCCAUUUUCCGCCACCCCUGGCCAGUUGGGACUCUGUCACUGGCUGCAGAGGUGAACAGACGGAGUCCUGCUGCUUUCCCCUACAGGGCUUCCUGACAUAAGAUGUCCCAACAACGGAAUCUUCAAAAAGGAAAGUUCUACGCCCUCAAGAUGGCGCAAUCCGGGACUUUUCUGUGAAGCUCUGGGUGAAGGGGCGGACAUGCAUCUCCCAUCAACUGGAUCGAAUGUAGUUGUGCUGGCAACAAAGAGGCCAACUCUACAUACAGUACAAGAGUCACAGGAUGAAGCUACUCUUGUACUUGAAGUUGAAGCUGAUCAUCUACAACUUUCAUUAUCACUGUCAAAGGAUGUGUUACCAUUAUUCGGAUUUAUACCCAAGGUGCUGGU